rnacentral:rRNA from 1 species
AUGAGAACAGAAGCACAUUUGUGCGUGAAGUGUUAUUCUUGUAUUGCUAGUGUACCAAAUCAUAAGCGAUCCACAAUUCUUCACUACCAAGCUACACAAAGGAUUCAGAUUACAGCAAAAGCAUUUAUAAUAUGUUCUCGCUACCUUGCUCAGAAUAAAUAUUCUCACUACAAACCAAUCCAGAACAACAACAUGCACACGUCUUAUCAGAUAAAUUACAUUAAACUGAAGGUGCGACACCAAACCAGUGCACCGCUGUCUCCUACUUGUCGUCGUCCCCUCUUCAAAGCACAGACUGUUCACCAGCUUCUGCAAAGACAUAAUUCAACCUUACUUAUACUCGAAGUAGAAGAUAACUCGUGUGCACAUCAUCGCUGGCAAUAA